ACGGUCAAAGAUAUUUUACUUUUUCAAUGAAAUAAAAGCACGUCAAUAAACUAUACAUGCCUGGCCCUUUAUGUGAUUGUUAUUUUCCAGUGUGGCCCUUAGUGAAAAUGAGUUUGACACCCCUGCUUGAGGAAAAUAAAGGUAAUCGAA